AGCUAGUUGGUGGGGUAACGGCUUACCAAGGCGACGAUGCGUAGCCGACCUGAGAGGGUGAUCGGCCACACUGGGACUGAGACACGGCCCAGACUCCUACGGGAGGCAGCAGUAGGGAAUCUUCCGCAAUGGGCGAAAGCCUGACGGAGCAAUGCCGCGUGAGUGAAGAAGGUCUUCGGAUCGUAAAGCUCUGUUGUCAGGGAAGAACA
rnacentral:rRNA from 1 species